AGCACGCCGGUCCUUGGCACAUCCCUCAGGUCACCUCGCCCGGGAGUGUAACAGUGAGACAGACGCGUGUGCCGGAGUACUGGAGACUGCAUCUCCGCGCCACGCCACUCGCAGCGCCACCGCCACCUUCACUUGCCCAUAUUGUGGCGGUGACGGGGACACGUUCUCUUGACAUCCUGAAAGGUUUCGAGGAAUAAGGGAACAGUUGAUGAUGGAGACGUCGGAGGUUCUUCGUCCUGCACCGCCAGACUCCCUGACGAACUGGUGUGGCUCUGGCGGGGUCACAGUGCUACUAAGACGGGAAUCCAGACUUAGGAAGGUUAGUUUUUUGGUCUUUGCAUGCACCUUGGUCUCUUUAUUAGUAGAUUCUUUAGUAAUUUAGCACUUUACUGUUUUGUAUGUUUUGCAGCGUCUGUAUUUUUUAUUUUUUCAAUUUUCUUUUUUUCAUGUGUUAUUAUUUUGUCCUUUUUUUUUCUAUACUUUCUAUUUUUGUGUAGUUGUUUUCUCUUAUCUAGCUUAGUUUCAAAUG